GAAAUGCGAUAAGUAAUGUGAAUUGCAGAAUUCAGUGAAUCAUCGAAUCUUUGAACGCCGCUUGCGCUCCUUGGUAUUCCUUGGAGCAUGCCUGUUUGAGUAUCAUGAAAUCUUCAAAGUAAAUCUUUUGUUAACUCAAUUGGUUUCUACUUUGGUAUUGGAGGUCUUUGCAGCUUCACACCUGCUCCUCUUUGUUCAUUAGCUGGAUCUCAGUGUUAUGCUUGGUUCCACUCGGCGUGAUAAGUUAUCUAUCGCUGAGGACACUGUAAAAGGUGGCCAAGGUAAAUGCAGAUGAACCGCUUCUAAUAGUCCAUUGACUUGGACAAUACUUUUAUGAUCUGAUCUCAAAUCAGGUAGGACUACCCGCUGAACUUAAGC
rnacentral:misc_RNA from 1 species